rnacentral:rRNA from 1 species
GAGUUUGAUCGUGGCUCAGAGUGAACGCUGGCGGUAGGCCUAACACAUGCAAGUCGAACGGCAGCACAGGAGAGCUUGCUCUCUGGGUGGCGAGUGGCGGACGGGUGAGGAAUACAUCGGAAUCUACCUUUUCGUGGGGGAUAACGUAGGGAAACUUACGCUAAUACCGCAUACGACCUUCGGGUGAAAGCAGGGGACCUUCGGGCCUUGCGCGGAUAGAUGAGCCGAUGUCGGAUUAGCUAGUUGGCGGGGUAAAGGCCCACCAAGGCGACGAUCCGUAGCUGGUCUGAGAGGAUGAUCAGCCACACUGGAACUGAGACACGGUCCAGACUCCUACGGGAGGCAGCAGUGGGGAAUAAUUGGACAAUGGGCGCAAGCCUGAUCCAGCCAUACCGCGUGGUGAAGAAGCC